GCCAGGGGUGGUGGCGCACACCUGUAAUCCCAGCAACUUGGGAGGCUGGGGCAGGAGGCUGUCAAGUUUAAGACCAGCCUGAGCAACUUAUCUAGACCUUA
rnacentral:sRNA from 1 species